GGAGACUCGUGUGAACCGGAUCUUAUAGUGGUGGCAGCUGUCGAGGGAACACGUCGACAACUUCUCUCCUCUCACACAGUAAGCUUGCAUAAAAAGAAGCUCACUGGAGGUUAGAUAGAGAGACUGAAGCGAUAAGCGUCAGAUGAAAAGUCAUGGGAGAUCAAAGUAAAAAUCACGAGUGACGUUGAUUUUUUCGCAAGGAAAAUUUUGUGUGCCGACCAAAGAGAUAUUUCCGGGGUGAAAAACAACACAGAAGAAGGAGAAUAAAUUCCAUGGGUCUCUUAUCUAUGUCUUCUUUUCGUUCAGCCCUAUUUUCAACCCGGCUCUCCACUAUUUGCGCAUAUAAAUAUUUUACGAGGGCCAGGAAAAAACUCUAUUUUCGUGCAGGCAAGCCCUAUCGCCACCGUUCAUAAGGAGAGAUUUACGGCGAACGGAAAGCGAUUAUUAUCUUCAGCAGAGUUUCCACUCUUUCGACAAUGAAAAGUAUUUUUACCAUUCGAAAACAAUUUCUUCCAAUAUUUUUCAUCAUGAAAUGUUCUUAAAUAAAAUUUACUCUUGAAUACAAGAUGUGUGAAUUAAGAACUAAUGUAUACUUCUGUAUGAAGAUGCGGGCAUGUUUGAAUGAGUAUUAAUUCAAGAAUGAUAUUGAAGAAAUUAGAAUUAUCUUCCUCUUUCCUCUUCAAUAAUUAUCGCGUAAGACAUUCUGAAAUGAACUUUCAGUCAUUUCAAUUUGAAAAAUUCGGUUACUUGAGAGACACUGGAUCUGUGUUGCACCUCGUGUCGUCAAUGUUCCGAGGUUCCUGGAAGGAAUUGCGGGAUUUAUGCCCGCUGGUCGAAAGUAUUCCCGCUAAUUACCGCAGGAGACGAAGAUUUAUGGAAUUUUUCGCGGCUAACCUCGCCAGCAAUAAUUAAAAUAGAUCGGAACGUGGAAACAGUAAAUUGUAACAGCCGCCACCCCCGCCGAUGGAUGGAAUUUACUCAGGCGAUACCGCGAAAUCGCGGACCUCACAAUACAGGCGCCAAGGAAAACUCGUUCGUUUUCGUACGGAGCAAAAAGACAUCGAGAAUUAUUCCGGUGAAGUGUAUAGUGCCGUGUAAACACAUUUUCGAAGGCGAAUGGGAAGCCCCGACGUGCUCUCCUGGUUUAUUUCAGAACGGUCGAAAGAUUUCUGAUAGUCGAGAUUGUUGCUCUAGUUGAAGCCUGGAAAAGAAGAAAUAUUUCAGUCGAUAUUUGGCGAUGAAGGAAAGAAAAUUGUUAUUGGAUAGUUUAUUGGUAGGAAAGAUAAAGAAAAAGAGAAAGAAAAAGAUGCGAUACCGAUGAACAGUUUUGGUAGAAGAUAUCUGUUAAAUAAGAAAAUCUUUUAACAAAUUAUUCAUCAACAAGAAGAAUAAAUGUAGCAAGGAAGAGACUAAAGUGAUGUUGAUAAAGGACUCUGUUGUAAGCUUCUUCUUUAACCUUAUCUAAAACUAAAAAUUCAUCUAAUGAAUUUCUUUAGCGCGGAUUUUAAUUAAAACCGAGCCGAAGUUGUCACAUUGAUAAAAGAGGAUCAAGACUCUAAACAGAAAAGAAAAUUAUAUUUCUUUUUAUAAACAUCAGAAAAUAUUCACUAUAUCAUUUCUCAUACAAAAAUACCCAAAAAUCACUUAGCCGCAACCAAAAGUAAAAAUUCAUUCAUGUAACGAAUUUCUUCGGCGUGGAUUUUAAUUAAAAUCAAGGCGAGGUCGUCACGGGUUCGAAAAAGAUAAAUUAGGACGAGUCGAGAGCGGGGCUUGAAAACCUGAAUAAUUUACGAUUGGUGUUGCGGGCGCGUUAGACACCCCAAGGAAUUCUAUGGGCCACCCUUACCGGAAGC